rnacentral:misc_RNA from 1 species
AAGGAGAAUUACCUACUGUUUAAUUUUGAGGGUUCGUUUUUACGAAUACUCAAAAUUAGCACUUUUAGCAACGGGAUUUAUCCGUUGGCGCCGUGCUUUAGCACUUUGAAAACUGCAUAUAUAUUUAGUGAUAUGACAUCUAAUUUGUAAUAUAUAAAGCUGAUAACUUUUUAAAAUUAUCGAAGUUGAUAGCUUCUAAUCUAUCAAACCUUUUUAAC